AGUGAACGCUGGCGGUAGGCCUAACACAUGCAAGUCGAACGGCAGCACAGUAAGAGCUUGCUCUUACGGGUGGCGAGUGGCGGACGGGUGAGGAAUACAUCGGAAUCUACUUUUUCGUGGGGGAUAACGUAGGGAAACUUACGCUAAUACCGCAUACGACCUACGGGUGAAAGCAGGGGAUCUUCGGACCUUGCGCGAUUGAAUGAGCCGAUGUCGGAUUAGCUAGUUGGCGGGGUAAAGGCCCACCAAGGCGACGAUCCGUAGCUGGUCUGAGAGGAUGAUCAGCCAGACGGGAACUGAGACACGGUACAGACUCCGACGGGGGGCAGCAGUGGGGAAUAUUGGAGAAUGGGCGCAAGCCUGAUCCAGCCAUACCGCGUGAGUGAAGAAGGCCUUCGGGUUGUAGAGCCCUUUUGUUGGGAAAGAAAAGCAGCAGGUUAAUACCCCGCUGUUCUGACGGUACCCAAAGAAUAAGCACCGGCUAACUUCGUG
rnacentral:rRNA from 1 species